AGCCAAUCAGCGGCCUUGUUGUUGGUCUGCCCGGAAACAGCGGCCGCCAUGUUGAGUUGUAGUUUGCGGUGGAAAGUGUCUGAGAGAGGAAGAGAAGUCCAUCUGCUGUGUGUUGUGGAAAUAAGUUUGCAGCCAUAAGUGCAGCCGUCCGUGCGUGUGCGCGUCCAGGAGCAUAGCUCGAUGGUGAACCAGCCUGACUGCGGGUGAUAAAAUGUGAUGAAGACGUGAUGAGAGAAGCAGAGCAGAGUCUGAGGAGGAAACGUCGCCGUCAGCAGAGGAGAACAAACAGCAUCAAAGCUCCUGGACGCUGUUUUAGAAGCUGAAGAGCAGAUUCACCCAGCAGGCAGCAAAAGCUCCACAACUUAGCCAGGGAGGAGGGGCCAACCUUACCUGUUGUGUUUACCAACCGCAACCACAAAUCUUAUUCAUUCUACCUUUCAAUAAAAAAAUCAAUAAAUA